rnacentral:lncRNA from 1 species
AUGUGAUGAUGUGGAUUAGAAUCCAAAGUAGUCAAUGGAAACAUUAGUGUCUGGAGUGGUCAGUAUGCAUACAUUGGUAAUUUUGUUCCAUGAAAAGUGUUAUAACUGUUUCCUUUGUUUAAUGAAAGCAUGAUGAAGGCAAGCAUUGUUUUAUCUUUAUCUUUCACUGAUCCUCUAAAAUAUUUUCAUAAAGAAAGGAGGAAGAGAGAUUUCAGGCAUUUUGAAGAAGACCCUGGAGCCAGUGAAUGUUUGGAUGAGGAACCCAUCUCAGAACCAUAUGGGAUGCUGAAGAACUCAGAGAAUCAGGGCAGCGAUCAGCACUCCUCUAUCAAUUAGGUUGUCGUACAAAAAGAACCCCUGAGCCUGGCUGAAAUCUUUUGUGUCUCUCAGGUGAGUUCUCUAUCUCACUUAGAAAAUAAC